rnacentral:rRNA from 2 species
CGCUGACUUAAGCUAUAGUAGGUAGCGGUGGAAAAACCAAAUGGGAUUCCCUUAAGUAAUUGCGAAUGAACAAGGAAAUGCUCAGCUUGAAAAAUGGGGCCUUUGGCUUUGAAUUGUAAUUUUGAAAUGUAUUGCCAAUGGAGGCGCAGGUGCAAGCCUAUUGAAAGAAAGCGUCAAUGAGGGUGAGAUUCCUUUUUGUCAUUUGCAGUCCUCCGUGCACGGUAUAUAUUUGACGAGUCACACUCCUCGGCAUUGGAAUGCAAAGUGGGUGGUAAAUUCCAUGUAAAGGUAAAUAUAUUAUUGAGACUGAUAGCAAACAAGUACCAUGAGGGAAAUAUGAAAAGGACUUUGAAAAGAGAAUUAAAAGAGUCUGCAUUUGCUGAACAGAAAGCAAACAGAAUUGAUUUUACUUGGUGAGAUUGUUGUGCUUACUCUAUCAUUUAUAUGGUUGAUGUGGGUGCGAUGGUUCUUACCUUGAAUGUCAGCUUCUAUUUCUGCAAAUCAUUACCCUUGCACAUGAAUGGUAAUUUGCCUGCGGGUAUUGGAAUGCAUGUGUUUGCAAUGAUUUGUGAUUUGACGCAUGUGUUUGGUGAAAUUUGUAUAUGCUCUUUUGUCGAAGGGGAAAGCUUACUUUUUUGAGCAUUGCAAGCCCUUACACAUCAGUGCUGGCAAAAUGUUUC